rnacentral:rRNA from 1 species
UACGAAGGGGGCUAGCGUUGCUCGGAAUUACUGGGCGUAAAGGGCGCGUAGGCGGACAGUUUAGUCAGAGGUGAAAGCCCAGGGCUCAACCUUGGAAUUGCCUUUGAUACUGGCUGUCUUGAGUUCGGGAGAGGUGAGUGGAAUGCCGAGUGUAGAGGUGAAAUUCGUAGAUAUUCGGCGGAACACCAGUGGCGAAGGCGGCCAGCUGGGCCGUCCCUGACGCUGAGGCGCGAAGGCGUGGGGAGCGAACGGG